UACGUAGGGGGCAAGCGUUAUCCGGAUUUACUGGGUGUAAAGGGAGCGUAGACGGCCAUUCAAGCCAGAUGUGAAAGCCCGGGGCUCAACCCCGGGACUGCAUUUGGAACUGUAUGGCUGGAGUGUCGGAGAGGCAGGCGGAAUUCCUAGUGUAGCGGUGAAAUGCGUAGAUAUUAGGAGGAACACCAGUGGCGAAGGCGGCCUGCUGGACGAUGACUGACGUUGAGGCUCGAAGGCGUGGGGAGCAAACAGG
rnacentral:rRNA from 1 species